AGAGUUUGAUCAUGGCUCAGAGACGAACGCUGGCGGCAGGCCUAACACAUGCAAGUCGAACGAACCCUUCGGGGUUAGUGGCGGACGGGUGAGUAACACGUGGGAACGUACCUUUAGGUUCGGAACAACACAGGGAAACUUGUGCUAAUGCCGAAUGUGCCCUUCGGGGGAAAGAUUUAUCGCCUUUAGAGCGGCCCGCGUCUGAUUAGCUUGUUGGUGAGGUAAAGGCUCACCAAGGCUACGAUCAGUAGCUGGUCUGAGAGGAUGAUCAGCCACACUGGGACUGAGACACGGCCCAGACUCCUACGGGAGGCAGCAGUGGGGAAUCUUGCGCAAUGGGCGAAAGCCUGACGCAGCCAUGCCGCGUGAAUGAUGAAGGUCUUAGGAUUGUAAAAUUCUUUCACCGGGGAAGAUAAUGACGGUACCCGGAGAAGAAGCCCCGGCUAACUUCGUG
rnacentral:rRNA from 1 species